rnacentral:rRNA from 1 species
CGGCCACCGGAGAGCGGCGGACGGGUGAGUAACACGUGGGUAAUCUGCCUAGGAGUGGGGAAUAACCUGGGGAAACUCGGGCCAAUACCGCAUACGUCGUCGGGACUGCGGUCCCGGCAAGAAAGCUGGCCUCUGCUUGCAUGCUAGCGCUCCUAGAGGAGCCCGCGGCUGAUUAGCUAGUUGGUGAGGUAAUGGCUCACCAAGGCGACGAUCAGUAGCCGGCCUGAGAGGGUGAACGGCCACACUGGGACUGAGACACGGCCCAGACUCCUACGGGAGGCAGCAGUGGGGAAUAUUGGACAAUGGGCGAAAGCCUGAUCCAGCAACGCCGCGUGGAGGACGAAGGUCCUCGGAUCGUAAACUCCUGUCAGAUGGGACGAACGGACGUCGGUAAAUAAUCGACGUCUUUGACGGUACCGUCAGAGGAAGCCCCGGCUAACUCCGUGCCAGCAGCCGCGGUAAUACGGAGGGGGCGAGCGUUAUUCGGAAUUAUUGGGCGUAAAGGGCGCGUAGGUGGCCCUGUAAGUCAAAGGUGAAAUCCCUCGGCUCAACCGAGGAAUUGCCCUUGAAACUGCAGGGCUUGAGGCCGGGAGGGGGUAGCGGAAUUCCCAGUGUAGCGGUGAAAUGCGUAGAUACUGGGAGGAACACCGGUGGCGAAGGCGGCUACCUGGACCGGUUCUGACACUGAUGCGCGAAAGCGUGGGUAGCAAACAGGAUUAG